AAAAAAAAAUUAUAAAUAUGCAAUAACAUUUAAUGUGACAACAAUCUUGAAUAUUUGUUUUUUUUUGUAUAGGCAAUAAUUAUAAUAUUCGUUAAUCUUUUAUUGGCAUUGGAUGCUAGAAUGGUAAUUGCCAUUGACUGAGAAUCGUGACAUUGGAUCGAUUGAUCGAAAACAUAAUCGGAGCAUAAACUAAGCCAUCGCGUUUGAUAUCGCACUCAAACAUGCUCCGCAGAGUUUCACUAGGCUUAAAAAUCAACCAUUUCGCGACCGAAGCCGGAUUAGAGAUCUAGGCGUCUUCGAUUUAGACGCCUCCGUCUGAAAUUAGACAAGAGAGGUGGUUGGAACGCACAAAUGGGUGAGAAGUAGCAUUUCUACUUUCUUUCGCAAGCAGGCUGUGGUGCCGAACCUGACCUGGGUUUCUUGGGUAGGCCCACUCCUAGUCGACUUGGGAUCUAGUUCAUUUUGCCCAGUGGCUUUCUAGCUGAACUGCAGGCCCUGUAACCGUGUCCGAUCCUCCUCCCGUCGAGCUACAGGUCUUCUCGAUAUUAAGAACGACAUUCGAUCAUGAAGCUAUCCCCGGCCCGGACUCUUUUCCUUCUUAUCCUAGCCGUUGGUGCCUGGGGUCACGCUCUCUUCCGAGUCCGACGCUCCCUAUGGGUAACGUUGGAGCCACAGCCAUGGACAUCCUUUCGAAAUAAGGAAGGACCAAUACAAUAUAAACUAGACUUCCACACCUAAGGACCAGAAAAGAUUGUACAGCAUUUCAGAUGCUUGAUGGAAGCACAAAACAUGCUUGGACAGGGACAGAAUCGGACACCAUUACUGGCGCAUCCGCCCAUGUAUGGGUUGCCUCUACAUCCAUUUCUUGAUCUUCUUCAGGAGCGUCUUUACAAUAAAAUAGAAGUAGCUGCGAGUCACAAGGGUCAUAAAUAAGCGUAGUCAGCUUAGAAUUCACCGUAAGCUUAAAAUAAGCUGGCAGAUUACAUAAAGCAGGAGUUUAUUUACAGAUAUUUUAAGAACCUCCCGAUAAGCCCAAUAUAUUAAGAUGAACAAUUUUCUCUUUUAACAUGCAUUUUCGAUUAAUAUUCAAACAAAUUUCAACAUUAAGAAAAAAUAACAAAUCUUUAUAAUUGUACCUGAAUGUGAAUAAUAUAAUUCACAUCAGCAAACAAAUUUAAAAAAGCUGGGAAAAUUUAAAAAAAUCGCCUUUUCAGCUUGUCAAACCUUAAAAUGGUUGGGAAUUACAAACGUCAAGAAACGCGACAUACCAGAGCUCAUUUUCUAUGUAAUUUGCCCUACGGAAAAAUGUUGCCAUUGCCUUUGGCAAAGAAAUUGUUGAUAAAAAAUAUCAAUUAUAUUAGAAAUAUACGUAAAUGUUCUUA